AUUGAACGCUGGCGGCAGGCCUAACACAUGCAAGUCGAGCGGAUGAGAGGAGCUUGCUCCUUGAUUUAGCGGCGGACGGGUGAGUAAUGCCUAGGAAUCUGCCUAGUGGUGGGGGAUCACGUUCCGAAAGGAACGCUAAUACCGCAUACGUCCUACGGGAGAAAGCGGGGGAUCUUCGGACCUCGCGCCAUUAGAUGAGCCUAGGUCGGAUUAGCUAGUUGGUGAGGUAAAGGCUCACCAAGGCGACGAUCCGUAACUGGUCUGAGAGGAUGAUCAGUCACACUGGAACUGAGACACGGUCCAGACUCCUACGGGAGGCAGCAGUGGGGAAUAUUGGACAAUGGGCGAAAGCCUGAUCCAGCCAUGCCGCGUGUGUGAAGAAGGUCUUCGGAUUGUAAAGCACUUUAAGCGAGGAGGAGGCUACUUAGAUUAAUACUCUAGGAUAGUGGACGUUACUCGCAGAAUAAGCACCGGCUAACUCUGUGCCAGCAGCCGCGGUAAAAC
rnacentral:rRNA from 1 species